rnacentral:rRNA from 1 species
ACGGAAGGCAGCAGUGUGGAAUUUUGCGCAAUGGGGGGAACCCUGACGCAGCAACGCCGCGUGCGGGAUGAAGGCCUUCGGGUUGUAAACCGCUUUCAGCAGGGACGAUGAUGACGGUACCUGCAGAAGAAGCUCCGGCUAACUACGUGCCAGCAGCCGCGGUAAUACGUAGGGAGCGAGCGUUAUCCGGAUUCAUUGGGCGUAAAGCGCGUGUAGGCGGCGGCGUAAGCGGAAUUUUUAAUCUGAGGGCUCAACCCCCAGCCGGAUUCCGAACUGCGCCGCUCGAGUGCGGUAGAGGUAAGCGGAAUUCCCGGUGUAGCGGUGAAAUGCGCAGAUAUCGGGAAGAACACCGAUGGCGAAGGCAGCUUACUGGGCCGUCACUGACGCUGAGACGCGAAAGCGUGGGGAGCGAACAGGAUUAGAUACCCUGGUA